rnacentral:rRNA from 1 species
CGUGGCUAACCUGCCCUUGGGACCAGAGUACCCCCGGGAAACUGGAGCUAAUUCUCGAUAGGUGAAGAACUCUGGAAUGAGUCUUCGCUUAAAAGAGGCUGGGGUUAUGCUCUCCAGUUUCGCCCAAGGAUGGGGCCGCGACCGAUCAGGUUGUUGGUGAGGUAAUGGCUCACCAAGCCUUUUACCGGUGCGGGCCGUGAGAGCGGGAGCCCGGAGAUGGGCACUGAGACAAGGGCCCAGGCCCUACGGGGCGCAGCAGUCGCGAAAACUUUGCAAUAAGCGAAAGCUUGACAGGGCUAUCCCGAGUGCCAUCCGCUGAGGAAGGCUUUUACCCAGUCUAGAACGCUGGGGGAAUAAGGAGAGGGCAAGUCUGGUGUCAGCCGCCGCGGUAAUACCAGCUCUCCGAGUGGUGUGGAUGUUUAUUGGGCCUAAAGCAUCCGUAGCUGGCUAGGUUAGUCCCCUGUUAAAUCCACCGAAUUAAUCGUUGGAUUGCGGGGGAUACUGCUUGGCUAGGGGACGAGAGAGGCAGACGGUAUUUCCGGGGUAGGGGUGAAAUCCUAUAAUCCCGGGAAGACCACCAGUGGCGAAGGCUGUCUGCUAGAACGCGCCCGACGGUGAGGGAUGAAAGCUGGGGGAGCGAACCGGAUUAGAUACCCGGGUAGUCCCAGCUGU